rnacentral:lncRNA from 1 species
GAAAAUAUACAAGAUUUACAGCAUAUGAUUGAUAGUGUCAACACUUACUCGAAUGAAAACAAUUUAUAUAUUAACUUUACAAAAACAAAGAUUGUAAUUUUCAGAAAUAGGGGUAAGCCUAAACAGGAAGAAAAGUGGUUUUUAAAUGGUGAUACCAUUGAUAUUUGUAAUGAGUUUAUGUAUUUAGGCUUACUUUUUUAUUACACUGGUAAUUUUGUUAAUACACAAAAGAGAUUGUCAGAACAAGGAAAAAAAGCAGUAUUUAGUAUGUUUAAUAAAAUACAGGAUGACUAUUAUAACCAUGAAACAUUAUUGACUUUAUUUGAAACUUAUGUUGCAAGUAUUUUGAACUAUGGCUGUGAAAUUUGGGGGUUUCAUAAGGCACCA